rnacentral:rRNA from 1 species
GACGAACGCUGGCGGUGUGCUUAACACAUGCAAGUCGAACGGAAAGGCCCUGCUUUUGUGGGGUGCUCGAGUGGCGAACGGGUGAGUAACACGUGAGUAACCUGCCCUUGACUUUGGGAUAACUUCAGGAAACUGGGGCUAAUACCGGAUAGGAGCUCCUGCUGCAUGUGGGGGUUGGAAAGUUUCGGCGGUUGGGGAUGGACUCGCGGCUUAUCAGCUUGUUGGUGGGGUAGUGGCUUACCAAGGCUUUGACGGGUAGCCGGCCUGAGAGGGUGACCGGCCACAUUGGGACUGAGAUACGGCCCAGACUCCUACGGGAGGCAGCAGUGGGGAAUAUUGCACAAUGGGCGGAAGCCUGAUGCAGCAACGCCGCGUGCGGGAUGACGGCCUUCGGGUUGUAAACCGCUUUCGCCUGUGACGAAGCGUGAGUGACGGUAAUGGGUAAAGAAGCACCGGCUAACUACGUG